rnacentral:rRNA from 1 species
UGGGGAAUAUUGGGCAAUGGGCGCAAGCCUGACCCAGCAACGCCGCGUGAGGGAAGAAGGCCUUCGGGUUGUAAACCUCUGUCCUUGGUGACGAAACAAAUGACGGUACCUGAGGAGGAAGCCCCGGCUAACUACGUGCCAGCAGCCGCGGUAAUACGUAGGGGGCGAGCGUUGUCCGGAAUGACUGGGCGUAAAGGGCGCGUAGACGGCUGUCUAAGUCUGGAGUGAAAGUCCUGCUUUCAAGGUGGGAAUUGCUUUGGAGACUGGAUGGCUUGAGUGCGGAAGAGGUAAGUGGAAUUCCCAGUGUAGCGGUGAAAUGCGUAGAGAUUGGGAGGAACACCAGUGGCGAAGGCGACUUACUGGGCCGUAACUGACGUUGAUGCGCGAAAGCGUGGGGAGCGAACA